rnacentral:rRNA from 1 species
CGCGUAGGUGGGAUAUUAAGUCUAUUCUAAAGUGCGGGGCUCAACCCCGUAAUGGGAUGGAAACUAAUAUUCUUGAGUACCGGAGAGGAAAGCGGAAUUCCCAGUGUAGCGGUGAAAUGCGUAGAUAUUGGGAGGAACACCAGUGGCGAAGGCGGCUUUCUGGACGGUGUCUGACACUGAGGCGCGAAAGCUAGGGGAGCGAACGGGAUUAGAUACCCCGGUAGUCCUAGCCGUAAACGAUGGGUACUAGGUGUAGGAGGUAUCGACCCCUUCUGUGCCGGAGUUAACGCAAUAAGUACCCGCCUGGGGAGUACGGCCGCAAGGUUGAA